rnacentral:rRNA from 1 species
CCUACGGGAGGCAGCAGUCGAGAAUCAUUCACAAUGGGGGAAACCCUGAUGGUGCGACGCCGCGUGGGUGAAGGAGCGUUUCGGCGCGUAAAGCCCUAUCGGCAGGGAAGAAGAAGGACGGUACCUGACUAACAAGCCCCGGCAAAAUACGUCCCAGCAGCCGCGGUAAAACGUAGGGGGCCAGCGUUAUCCGGAUUUACUGGGUGAAAAGGGGGCGCAGACGGGACUGAAAGUUGGGUGUCAAGUCUACCGGCGCAACCGGUAGCCGCACUCCAAACUGCAGUUCUUGAGUGAAGUAGAGGCAGGCGGAAUUCCUAGUGUAGCGGUGAAAUGCGUAGAUAUUAGGAGGAACACCAGUGGCGAAGGCGGCCUGCUGGGCUUUUACUGACGCUGAGGCUCGAAAGUGUGGGGAGCAAACAGGAUUAGAUACCCGAGUAGUC